rnacentral:rRNA from 1 species
UUGUAGAUUGCAGGUUGGAGUCUGUGUGGAAGGCGGUGUCCAAGUCCCUUGGAACAGGGCGCCCAGGAGGGUGAGAGCCCCGUGGGAUGCCGGCGGAAGCAGUGAGGCCCUUCUGACGAGUCGAGUUGUUUGGGAAUGCAGCUCCAAGCGGGUGGUAAAUUCCAUCUAAGGCUAAAUACUGGCGAGAGACCGAUAGCGAACAAGUACUGUGAAGGAAAGAUGAAAAGCACUUUGAAAAGAGAGUGAAACAGCACGUGAAAUUGUUGAAAGGGAAGGGUAUUGCGCCCGACAUGGGGAUUGCGCACCGCUGCCUCUCGUGGGCGGCGCUCUGGGCUUUCCCUGGGCCAGCAUCGGUUCUUGCUGCAGGAGAAGGGGUUCUGGAACGUGGCUCUUCGGAGUGUUAUAGCCAGGGCCAGAUGCUGCGUGCGGGGACCGAGGACUGCGGCCGUGUAGGUCACGGAUGCUGG